AUUGAACGCUGGCGGCAGGCCUAACACAUGCAAGUCGAGCGAGCGGCGGACGGGUGAGUAAUGUAUGGGGAACUGCCCGAUAGAGGGGGAUAACUACUGGAAACGGUGGCUAAUACCGCAUACUAUCGGCUGUACCCCUAUGGGAUUAGCUAGUAGGUGGGGUAAAGGCUCACCUAGGCGACGAUCCCUAGCUGGUCUGAGAGGAUGAGCAGCCACACUGGAACUGGGACACUGCCCAGACUCCUACGGGAGGCAGCAGUGGGGAAUAUUGCACAAUGGUAGCAAGCCUGAUGCAGCCAUGCAGCGUGUAUGAAGAAGGCCUUAGGGGUGUAAAGUACUUUCAGCGGGGAGGCGUUACCCGCAGAAGAAGCACCGGCUAACUCCGUGCCAGCAGCCGCGGUAAUUC
rnacentral:rRNA from 1 species